rnacentral:rRNA from 1 species
CCUACGGGAGGCUGCAGUGGGGAAUAUUGGACAAUGGGGGCAACCCUGAUCCAGCCAUGCCGCGUGUGUGAAGAAGGCCCUCGGGUUGUAAAGCACUUUCAGUGAGGAAGAACGCCUGGUGGUUAAUACCCAUCAGGAAAGACAUCACUCACAGAAGAAGCACCGGCUAACUCCGUGCCAGCAGCCGCGGUAAUACGGAGGGUGUGAGCGUUAAUCGGAAUUACUGGGCGUAAAGCGCGCGUAGGUGGCUUGAUAAGCCGGUUGUGAAAGCCCCGGGCUCAACCUGGGAACGGCAUCCGGAACUGUCAAGCUAGAGUGCAGGAGAGGAAGGUAGAAUUCCCGGUGUAGCGGUGAAAUGCGUAGAGAUCGGGAGGAAUACCAGUGGCGAAGGCGGCCUUCUGGACUGACACUGACACUGAGGUGCGAAAGCGUGGGUAGCAAACAGGAUUAGAUACCCUUGUAGUC